UUGUGUCCUGGGCUUUUUAGACUCUUCUACCCAUGUACUAAGAAGAGUCUAAAAAGCCCAGGACACAA